GUACACGCUGUGACUAGCAUAUCAAUAAGCGGAGGAAAAGAAACUAACAAGGAUUCCCCUAGUAACGGCGAGUGAAGCGGGAAGAGCUCAAAUUUGAAAUCUUAAAGGGUUUCCCUUUACGAAUUGUAGUUUAAAGAAGUGUUUUCUGUUGAGGUUUUGGUAAAAGUUCUUUGGAAUAGGACAUCAUAGAGGGUGAGAAUCCCGUAUUUGACCUUUACUUUCAACUUUGUGAUACACUUUCAAAGAGUCGGAUUGUUUGGGAAUGCAGUCCAAAAUGGGUGGUAAAUUUCAUCUAAAGCUAAAUAUUGGCGAGAGACCGAUAGCGAACAAGUACCGUGAGGGAAAGAUGAAAAGAACUUUGAAAAGAGAGUUAAACAGUACGUGAAAUUGUCAAAAGGGAAGCGUUUGACACCAGUGUUGUUUUUCUGAAAAUCAAUUAAAGAACUGUUUAUGCUAAGUUGUUUAGACUUUAUCAGCUAACUGUUUAGUUUUGAGCUUUUCUUUAAUGCACUUUUCAGUUAACAAGUCAACAUCAAUUUCUUUUGCUGUAAAAAGCUUGAGGAAGGUGGCUUGAGAUUCGUCUUAAGUGUUUAUAGCCUCUUGCCUAUGCAGUCGGAGAGAUUGAGGUCUGCAGCGUAGAUCCUUCGGGGCUAAAUGCAUUUGUGCUAAGUUAUAGCAUUUUAUAGACAACUUGUUGACUAUGAUUUGUCUUGUAGCUUACUCGCUUAUGUUAUUUUACCUACGCUUAGGAUGUUGAGUCGUAGAGCACGCAG
rnacentral:rRNA from 1 species